UUCUAGUUAGUGUAUUAGCACAAAAAAAUUUGAGUUUUUUAGAGGGAAUCCCACUAGAAA
rnacentral:tRNA from 1 species